UGACCAACCCACUGAGCCAUGGAAGAUGAACCUUGAAGAGAUGUAGAUGGGGACUGAACUUUGAGUGAUGAGUCUAGUACAAUGGUCCGUGGCGGCCGAGAAACCCUUGCCUUUAACAUUGUAUUAGGACUGCUUGCUAAAUUAUCCUCAUGAAUAUUUGGCUUAUUGCUUCCUUUUGUCACAACUUUCUGCUCUAAAAGGACCAAAUGACCUCUCGGAAGAGUACCAGUAUCCAUUUCAUUCCCGAGUACUGUACAGGCA
rnacentral:misc_RNA from 1 species